rnacentral:lncRNA from 1 species
CUUUGAGCAAGAGGACAAACCUGGGUAGGGAUCUCUAUGAUGUUUUCUGCGUUGCCCGUGGACGUUCAUCUUUCUGAUUUGUUAGCUGAAGAUGAGGAUCUGGAGCAGGAGCUCGGAGUGCCAUUGUUCCAUGGGCAGAUGUGCAGCAGAGAUUGUGAGUGGGGUCUGUUGGGGCGGUCAGGGGGCCCUCCUGAGCUGGCCUCUCUCGCCUGCGACUUCACAAUGCUUGUUCUGAGUUCAGCGUUUUCACUGGAGAGAGCUACAGCUGGGAAGUGCUGUUUUUUUCUAGGUGCUCUCAGCUGCUAUUACCUCUUCUAUCUCUUCCUCUGGAAAAAUAUUAGGGGCCUUUUUGUCUUAACAGAAGAAGAAGUAGAUUCAUUCAUUCUUUUUUUUCUUUUUCUUUUUCUUUUUUUUCAGACAGUCUCGCUCUGUUGCCCAGGCUGAAGUGCAGUGGCACGAUCUUGGCUCACUGCAACCUCCACCUCCCUCCCGGGUUCAAGCGAUUCUCCUGCUUCAGAAUCCUGAGUAGCUGGGAUUACAGGCUGUGCCAUCAUGUCUGGCUAAUUUUUGUAUUCUUAGUAGAGACGGGCUUCACCAUGUUGGCCAGGCUGGUCUCCAACUCCUGACCUCAGGUGGCCCACCAGCCUCGGUCUCCCAAAGUGCUGGGAUUACAGGCGUGAGCCACCGCACCCGGCCAAUAUUCAUUCAUUCUUUCUCACCUCUUCCUCCGCUCUUUAAGGUUGAGCUUGCCUGGCCCAAGGCACAGAGUUCUGGGAAGGAUGGAAGAGAGGGGAAGGGAGAGCACCAACAUCACGGACCGCCUUUCACAUCAGCGGCAGCAGCAGUAAAACCCCCAGAAAACCUGGGGUAGGCGUGGGGGUCUGUUUAGAUCAGCCCUGGAGGCAGCCUCCCAUGUCCCUCCUGGACAUUUGUUCACCUUCACAGAACCCACUUCUUUCCCAUCGUCUGUUCGGAUAUCUGUUUCCUGCACCGGGCAGGUAGCACAGCACACUCAGGGGUUUCUCUGACUCACCUUGGCAGCCCCAGCCCUCAGCACACUGCCUACCACUUAGUAUUUAGAGAACCUAUGCCCUUUGAAAAAAGUAGGUAAAUAGUAAAAUAUUAUUUUUACCAUUGGAACAAACACAAUUAUAUGCUUGAUGAAAUUCAAACAGUACAAAUGCAAGAAAAAAAAGGCUUGUUAGGUACAAAUAUUGGAAGAAAAGAGCUUGGGGCCAGAAGUGACCCCAGACAGAUGGGCUGGGAAAGAAGGGCUUUACAGGGACCUCAGUGGCACACAGGGCCUAGACCCAGAGAUGGGGCCUUCUUGACAGGACACCUCUGUCCAAGGGCAUGGGUUGCGCUCAUGUCUCUGUAACAUAUUUCAAAAAGGAUGCAAAGAAACCCAACUUUUCCGGAGAAAGUGGCAAAAAUAAUGAAGAGUGGUUGACCAGAAGGCUUAGGGCCCUGGGACUGUGUUGCUAGAGAGUAAGAACCACCUGUCCUUGAGCAAACCAAACUGGCUUUGAUCUUCUGCCCUUCUCUGUAGAGGACUGAGCAGGAGGAAAUAAGAAUUACAUGAAGAGCUUCCUAGGGAGCUUCCGGAAGAAAAUCUUAGUCCCCUGCCCUGGACACUUUCGCCAGUCAAGGGCAGAAGGUGGCUAAACAAUAGGACGGUUGAGUAUCCCUUAUUCAUAGUGCUUAGGACCAGAAGAGUUUUGGAUCAUGAAUUUUUUUGGAGCAUUUCAGAUUUUCACAGCCGCAGGUAGGGGGACAGGUUGAUGAAAGCCCCGCUGUGUCCCGUGAUUUGUGACAGAUAUCUGUUUUCUUCCUCAUUCCAAUGCAUCAUCUUGGAUUUUGGAAUAUUUGCAUUAUACUUAUCAGUUGAGCAUCACAAAUUCAAAAAUCCAAAAUCUGAAAUGCUCCAAAUAAGAAUUUCCUUUCAGCCUCAUGUCGGCAUUCAAAAAAUUUCAAAUUUUGGAGCAUUUUGGAUGUCAGAUUUUCAGACUUGAGGUGCUCAGCCUGUACAGGUUAUUCAGGCUCCUGAAUUCUGUGAUUGCUUUUUUUUUUUUUCUAGAGCAAAGUUCCAUAAAGAGCAGAUGGAGAGGUGUUGAUUAGCAAUCAAUUAAUUAGUUGAUAUUUAUUGGACCCUUAACUCUGUGUCAGGUAUGGCUCUAAGGGCUUGUAAAAGCAUCAAAUCAAUUUAUCCAGGCCUCAUACUGCCCACUCCAGCAUGUACUAUUAUAUUAUUAGCCCAUUUUAUAGAUGAGGAACCUGAGGAAUAGCAGUGUUGAAUCACUUGCCCGACGUUGUAUUUCUUGAGUAUGAUUGUAGGUAUUAGACGGGGUUCUGAAACAGGGCAAGGAUGCAAUUGAAAUAAAGAAGGAAACAGAUACCUGUCACAAGUCACUGGAUACAGCUGAGCUUCUAUCAACACAACUCAAGUGUGUGCAUCUGGUACCUGUCAAGUUAGAGAAAUUGGUUGUUGUACAACAUGACCUCAUAAUCAAAAUAUUGUAUCAGAGUGCCUGCUGGUAGCAGAUAUCCAAACUUCUCUUGUCUCUUGUUCAAGAUCAAUUGUCUCCUAGCUCAUUUGAUUCAGUUUGGAGAUCAUUUGGUUCCAUGGACAACCUCUAUUGGUGUUAUAUCUGGGGAAGUGCUUGCCUUGGUCCUGGACUUGAUACCACUAAAGCUGAUAAUGAGAACAGAGUAGGGUUCUAUUAGGUGAGAGCAAGGGUUCAGAUGGGAGCAUGUUAGGAAGCCCCCCAUCUCUUCCAGCACUUGCCUCAUCCAGCCUUAGCUGGAGCUGCAGAUGCACCUGCUGGUGACACUCAAGCACCACCCGGUGUGGCCUGCAAGGCCCUGUCAGGGUGGGCUCUCCUUCCUGUCUUGCCAGCAUCGUCACACAGCUAUGCCCUGUGUUCAUCUGGCAGUGGCAUGCUAGCUGCAUUUCCAGGCUCAGCUAUGUCUCCUCCUGCCUCAGAGCCUCUGCAUGCAUGUGCUCCUGCCGGGAAUUUUCUUGCCCCGGUUCUUCCUGUGGCUGGCUCCCUGCCAUCCUCCUCCCUGCCAUCCUCUGCUCUAUUCAAGUGUCACCUUCUUAGACGUGCCUUUCCUUAUAGCCCCCGAGUGAUGGCCUCUCCUCCCCAAGUCACACUCUACACUUGCUUUAUUUUCUUCUUACCUUGUAUUGAAAUUUGAAAUUGUCAAGUUCACUGAUUUACUUGUUUAUGAUUUGUCACCUUUCACUAAA